UUAUUGCUGGUGUUUUCUUAAGUUGCAGUUCGCUUGGCCUUUCAGGGCCACCGUACAUUUGAGCCAAUCUUCAGAUCAGACUAUAUAUAAUACUACAACAGACAAACUUCAGAUGUUACAGUAUAAAUAGGCGGGCUAUAUCUUCACAGCACCUGAACAAAGAGUCUUCUUCUAUAUUGUCUUCUGCUCUUUGUCAGGUAUUAAAAAAACAAAAAUAUUUUAUAAAUCCUACGUUGUGCUGCCGUGUACAGUAUGGUCCAUUCAUAACCGCACUGUUUGUCAUUGUUACCUAACCUACAUGCAUCAGGUCCUUUAUCUCUGCCAGUGUGGUCGUGUCAUUUGUUCUCAAAUACACAAAAGAACCUCAAACAAAGUCCUUUCAGCCUGAGAUACUUCAAAUGCUCUUUCAUAAAGAAGAGGCGUUUCAUAACAAAUAAAAGAACUGAAAAAGAAAACUUCUAAGGCUCACUGUUAAUUACAAAAUAGUCAAAGAUUUGUUAUGACUGAGGGAGCAGGCUCGCCACAACUACAAAUACCAAAGUCACAUUUCAGCAGCCACCUGACUGACUACUUGUCUGGCGUGACUGCAGCCACGCCAGUCUGUGUGAGGUUACUGAAUUAUUGAAAACGCCUCUGAACCUUUCUGUUUGCUUUUUCUGUCUAUUUUAAGGCAAAAGAAAUAGUAUUCAUAUACAUGAUUUUGUGCUUUUGAACCGACCUGUUAUUAAGAAUAGCUUUAGUUUUAGUUUUUACAUGCGGAUAUGAGGGCAUACUAAAUAUUACACAGCAAUUUUCACUUUGGAUUUUGUUGGGCGAGGUGAAAUUAGUGCAUUCCUAAGCUCUCUGCCCGCGUCAUUUUCUACGUAGCUUCUGCCGGUUGUUUCGCUGACUGGUUUCAUUUUUAAGUCAGAGCUAAAAAAACUUUAUCUCAUUGUUUGUCCAACAUCUUAAUCUCCACCCACAAGGUGUUUAUUUGUCUCUGCCUUGUUCCAUGUCAACGGGCGCACAUUCGACUGUAAACCGAUGAGGGCGAUAGCAUGCUGUGUGUGCAGGUCUUUUCAUAUGGGUUUGCAUUUGCUUGUUUGCAUCCAGAUUAAACAGCAUUGCGUCUCACAGGUCCUGUCGUGUGGCCUUUUUUCCUGUGGUCCCCAUUUUAUCUCGUGGGCUCGACCUAGCACUGAAUCUUCACUGCUUUGCAAUCAGUCUGCACAGCUGAAACCCAUCCACAAUCAAGCACUGCUGCAUUUAAACCCUGGUUUCUCUUCCAUGUCAACGUUGUAUUUGCUGGGGUAAUCAUAUUUGUACAGGGCCAGCUAAAGGCAGCCAUCACCAGGCCAACUCUGUAUCUCCCAACAAGCUCAAAGUAAAAGUAAAAUAAACUUGUCCUGCUUGACUGU